GAUGAAGAACGUAGCGAAAUGCGAUACGUAGUGUGAAUUGCAGAAUCCAGUGAAUCAUCGAAUCUUUGAACGCACAUUGCGCCCCCUGGUAUUCCGGGGGGCAUGCCUGUUCGAGCGUCAUUUCACCACUCAAGCCUCGCUUGGUAUUGGGCAACGCGGUCCGCCGCGUGCCUCAAAUCGACCGGCUGGGUCUUCUGUCCCCUAAGCGUUGUGGAAACUAUUCGCUAAAGGGUGUUCGGGAGGCUACGCCGUAAAACAACCCCAUUUCUAAGGUUGACCUCGGAUCAGGUAGGGAUACCCGCUGAACUUAAGCAUAUCAAUAAGCGGAGGA
rnacentral:misc_RNA from 1 species